rfam:Myotis lucifugus cont2.7485, whole genome shotgun sequence.
GGUGGUUCUCGGGUGACACGCCCCAGAAUCGGGCUCUCUCCUCUCUGGUUCCAGGUGCGUCACCCAAGAACCGAG